UCCCUUAUAAACCCUAGGGACUAGGGCUAGAGGCAGUUCCCUGCCAGCAGCCAAGGAGGAAGGGGUUCUCUCUCUUGGAAGAGCAGAUCAGCCUGACUGCAGGUGCAGUGUCUGACAUGGCUGAGGGAUGGAGUAUUCCCUGAAUCCAUGGGUGCCUAUACACAUGCUCUGAGAUGUUCUAAUUAGAAGGUGUCAGAGCAGACUCGAGUGAUCUGUCAUAUGUAUUCAGCAACCCACAUUUCAAAAUGGUGGGGGAAAGUGUGCAUGAAAAACUGCUACUCAACAAAUCUUCCAGUUCUACAGAAUUUAUUUUUUGCUAAUAUUAACAUUCUGCAGGCUCCAGAUUAUGAUCCAUCUCCACUGAAUUAUGAGAGAGCCUUUCAGAUUAAUGACUUUUGCAAAUAUUUAAAACAGAUCACAAUGUCUUCUUCCAAUGGACCCUGCAGAGAUGCAAAAAGAGAGAGCAUGUGUGUGGUUGGGCAUGAAACAAAGAGGCAACUUUUUUGUAUUCCAAAGCAAAAAUAAAAGAUGAU